GGGCUGCAAGUACCUCAUCAUCAGCAUGGCCGAUAAUCGCCGGUCCCCAAGAACCCACAUAAUCAACAUAUUCAUUACCAUCAAUAUCCCACAUGUGAGAGCCCUUUACAGAAUCGAUAAUAAUUGGUUGCCCACCAACAGAUUUGAAGGCACGGACAGGGGAAUUCACUCCACCAGGCAUUAGCUCCUUGGCAGCAUUGAAAGCCUCUUCAGAUUUCUUGAGAGUGAAAUUCUUCUUCUCGUCGAGAGUGACGGCCAUUUUGACACGGGAAAAACGAGAGGAUCGUGAAGUAGUUGUGUGAGAGAGCUUGGUGGAGCAUGGAAGGCCAAUUCCGACUGACCCAGCAAAAGCGCCAGCCAUUUU
rnacentral:misc_RNA from 1 species